GUCAGUAUGGUUUAGUGGCUUGAGCGCUGGACUAGGGCACUACUAGGAGACCAGGGUUCGAAUCCCUGCUCGGCCA